CACUGAUCUCUACUACAGGGGAUGAACCGCACAUCGAGCGCCCUCAACUAAAGCCGGCCUUGUCCCGGAAGUUGGUGCUUCACAACUUUGCGGCACCACUUUGUUGCACGGCCUGUGGAGACAAGGUUUCUUAGACAUGGCCAUGGCCCUCAAGGAAGAUGCCGAGGCCACAGGCAGUUCCUCCAGUGACCGUGAAAAGGUCCCCUGGGGCACAAGUCUGGUUUGGCACCCCCACCUUUCUCCUGCAGCUUUUCUGUCUACUUAGCUAACCAGCAGCAAGUUUAUCCUUGCAAGCGUUUGGAGUCAAGAACAACUUUCGCCAGGAAGAAGUGCGAGACGAGUGAUUGAAG